rnacentral:rRNA from 1 species
CCGCGCCUACGGGGCGCAGCAGUGGGGAAUAUUGCACAAUGGGGGAAACCCUGAUGCAGCAACGCCGCGUGAGUGAGGAAGUAUUUCGGUAUGUAAAGCUCUAUCAGCAGGGAAUAGAAAAGAAGGUACCUGAAAAAGAAGCCCCGGCUAACUACGUGCCAGCAGCCGCGGUAAUACGUAGGGGGCAAGCGUUAUCCGGAUUUACUGGGUGUAAAGGGAGCGUAGACGGAAAGGCAAGUCAGAAGUGAAAGCCCAAGGCUCAACCAUGGGACUGCUUUUGAAACUGUCAAACU